CCCAUAGCCGAGCAUUGCGCAACGAUGCGCUAGUCCUAAAAGAGACAAUCGCGAAAUAAAUUCAAAAAGUUGAUGUUUUUCAUAACUAGAUGGCUUCUGUCGCUUUGCAGACGACGGGAAAUAUUAUUGUGUUCAAAACAAGUUUGGCUGUUUGUGUUUGCACCUGUUGCUGUUUAGUGUUUACACACUGAGGAAAUGAGCAACUGUUGUCUAUUAUUGUUGAAUAUACGUGAUACCGUUUUACUUAGUUUAUUGCGAAAUGUGAGCUUUCUAUUGUGGUCCUAAAUUAUCUUCAACCUGUCUUUCACCAAUCAGCCGAAUCGUAAAUGAAAUUUAAGAUUCCAGUUCGUCACUUCAUCAGCAACCCUAGUGUUCUUUCUGCCUGAAAGUAAACUCGGAUCCCUCGAUGUGCUUCGAUGAAGAACAGAUGAAGAUGUGACGGUAUGAACUGAAGCUGUCUCGUUCGUGCACAGCAAAGUCUCAUCACAGCCAUUCGCCAGCGCCUGAGGAAAAUGAAACCUGAAACGAAAUUAAACCUACCAGUCCACUGAUCACAUCCCAUCUCCAAAAGGAAGAACUGCAUUGCCACAAGGUUAACGUUCUACGAUAGCCUUGCAAACAACGUAAAACACAAAUAAAAUUAUCGACGUCAUAAAAAUAUUUUAGUAGUACGAAUCAAUAACCGACACAAGUUAAGUUGCGGAACUGUGUACAUUGAAAAACACAUAAUAAGGACAAGUUAAUCCAAAUUGGUGUAGCUGAUUGGUUGUGGCCGAGGCAGAUCAGUUACGGAAUUAUUAUGCAGACUGCUGCAUUCUCUACAUGGCCACCUCCUAAUGCCGACUGGCCAGCUGGUUCCAAGUGAAGAAUAAUAUUGGCUAUGUCUGACUUUAUUUCGUUGUGUUGGCAAACGGCUCAAAUAUUCGGAUCAAAGAUAGGGAAACCGCCAAACCGGAAACAAAUUUACACAGGAUUUACAUAAUUGCUUCGGUGUUGGAAGUGAUUAGAGCAGCGUGGCCACGAUGUAUCGCCGACAAGGAAAUCACGACCAAGAUCACAUAUCUGCUAAACGAUUUGAUUUGGCCCAGUGGUGGGUGAAUUUUUAAUUCAGGAGGACGAGUUGCAGUCUAGUGACAUUGAAUCGAACAAUACGCAUUAUAAAAGAUUGACGUCGACGUAAGAUGCAGAAAAUUCAACUCACCUGAGCCAACACCACGACAUUCAUCAAAAUGGAGGCAGCAGGUAAGAACUUUUUGUAUCUUUUCGCGAAUUGUAAUUUCAAUUGCGAAUUGCCGGCUGAUUACGUGCCCCAAUUCGCAUUAGCAAUCGUUUCAUUAAAUUGAAGUGUUGGUCUUACAUUUUCUUUUAAGCGGCCGUUGCUGUUCUUUUUCACUUCGUGCGAAUAAAUGGCGCAUCUGUUUAUUUCUGUCUGUUAUUUCGCGUCUGCGGCGGCCGGCGGGUGAAAUUAACAUUUUGCCAAUUAUAACGAGGGGAAAAAACGAAGAUUAACGAGAUGCGUAGGUAAUAGAAGAGUUUCAUUCUCGUGUUGAUUUCAUUUCAUUUCGAGCUGCGAUAGGAAAACAAAUUUGAAUAAUUUAUA